rnacentral:rRNA from 1 species
AUGCACGCUAGCGGCAGGCCUCACCCCUGCCAGUCGAGGGAGAGGUUACCUUCGGGUCACCACAACCGGCGCCCGGGUGCGUAACGCGUAUACAAUCUGCCUUUCACAUAGGGAUAGCCCGAAGAAAUUUGGAUUAAUACCUAAUGGUAUAUAAGAGCGGCAUCGUUUUUAUAUUAAAGCUACGGUGGUGAAAGAUGAGUAUGCGUUCUAUUAGCUAGUUGGAGAGGUAACGGCUCCCCAAGGCGACGAUAGAUAGGGGUUCUGAGAGGGAUGUCCCCCACACUGGUACUGAGAUACGGACCAGACUCCUACGGGAGGCAGCAGUGAGGAAUAGUGGACAAUGGUCGGAAGACUGAUCCAGCCAUGCCGCGUGCAGGAUGAAGGUCCUAUGGAUUGUAAACUGCUUUUGUAAGGGAAGAAUAAGGAGUACGUGUACUUUGAUGACGGUACCUUACGAAUAAGCAUCGGCUAACUCCGUG